GAUCUUUUGCAUAGCUUGAAGUGGUGUUUGAAUGUGCAUUGUCUCUGAACACCUGAAUUAGAAUGGACUGAUAUCUGUGAACCAUGUGGAAUAGCCACAUGGCUCUCCGCAUGUGCCUGGACACCACAGCCAGGCAUGAUACUGCAUGCUAAUUCAAAUUGUUCAGUGCUGGCUGUCUUUGUCUCUAACUCCCCAAGAGUGGAGACGGUUCUUUUGCUUUCCUACAAAGUUUAAUACUGCUGCUGACAACUCAGGCCUUGUGAUCUUGCUGACUGAGAGGACCAAUAAGAUCUGGAUUUUUCAAGAUACUGGAGCAUGUUCCAGCCUUCUGGCCAACACUCAACUAUCUGUCAUGAUGGAAGAAAGGGGAGCUGGACCAAGGAUAAUGAGCUUUGGACUCUACAGAAGAGGCUGUGGGACUCCCCUUCCAGUGUGCCACUUAUCUGGCAAGUCCGAGUGACCAACACAAGGAAGGGCUCCACCUUUUCAGAGUGUAGUUUGGUCAACAUAUGGAUUUGUGAGCUUGGAAAAAUACAAGUACCACUCACUGCAAAGUCCUGCUGUUCACAGGGAUUCCUCAGAUAUUUUUUGUACUUGUAAAGAAACUUCAUAUUUAUAGUAGAAACCAAUAGAAGUUCAUUACUUGGGUGACUUGGGUAGGCAAUUAUACUAAAACGUUAGCUUGUUAUCUAUAAUCUAGAUCAUAGCGGAUGCUGAGACAAUAUUAUAUCCACAUAUUAACAAAUGAUACAAUCUAGAAUCACCCAAGAAGAGGGUCUCAAUGAGAGAUUUUGCCCAGGUGUCCUGUGACCAUGUAUGUGGGGAUUCAACUUGAUUACAUUAAUUGAAGUUGGAAGGUUUUCUUAUCGUGGGUUCUAGACUAAGCUUUUGCAUGAGGAUUUGAGCAAGAAGAAGAGUUCCAAGAAGAGAUGUGUAUUCCUAAUUUUUUUGAAUGCUUGGACAACAUGGAGAAGUCACACCAGGCUCAUGAAGAACUCGAUUUUCUGGGCAUGGGUCAUGGACAGCGGUGUAAGAGUAGAGAAAGCAAUGAGUGCAGGUUUGCCCACUUUUAUUUCCCCUCAGCUCUGGAUUAGCUAUGUCUACUGAGCAAAUAUGUAAUGAUGUGGCUGGCUGCUUUAAAUUCCUGCCUAGACUCUCCCCUGUGAUGGACUGUCACCUGAAACUGUGAGGCCAACCAAGACUUUCUUUCUCAAAGUUGGUUUUGUUAGAGUACUUUAGCAAUGCUAUCUGGAAAUGAAAUGAAAACAACUACUAUGUAAGAUAUUAGUAAUGUCAAUUAACCAUUACAAAAGCUUUGAAAUUGUCACUAUCAUUAUGCUCAUUUUAAAAGUAAACCCAUAUCCAUGACU
rnacentral:lncRNA from 1 species